GUUUGAUCGUGCACCAAUCCCAUUUGGCUCAUAAAAACAAGAUUGCAGCUUCAAAAUCCUCUUCAUCAAACUCGACCAUAUUCAAAGAUUUACUUCACAUGUUACAUUAACUUGCUUGUAGUGUGCACUCAUUCCUCUUUCCCAAUGACUUGAGAAUAUAAUGAGAGAGGAAGGAUGGAGGGUUCUUUAUAAGGGGAUUGUUCCUGGGUUUUUUCUGCAGGUUUCUCAUGGAGCUAUACGAUUUACAGCAUAUGAAGAACUAUGAAAAGUCAGUAUUUGCUUUAAGUGUAGAAAGAGCACAUAGAAGUUUGGAAGUUUCUGAUGCAGUUUUGGUAGGUUGCCACUUACCAAAAAGUCUUCUAUAACUGUUGGAUAUAUUAGAUUCGUACAACAAUGUUUCCCCAUGGCGGUGAGAAGCUUUUAUACAUUUUCUAUGUAUAAUUUAGCUUUUGAGUUCUUUUUCUAGGUCAAGCGCUCUCGAUUACAUAUUGCCUUACGAUGUGUUGAUGCAUUUAAUAAAAAAUGAGGUGAUAUUCACUCAAAAUUUGGUUUUCGGAAGAAUUCAAGUUUGCCUUCCUUGCUAAUUUUCUUUGGGUUACUAUUUCAAUAUUGAGUAAUCUCAGUUUAUGGGUACAAAUUUUUGUUAUGAUUUUCUUAUUUUAUUUAUGUUUAGAAUUUUGAGAACACAUCAUGAGUAUUUGUCCUUAUGAAAACAAGUAAUUUUGCAUGAAAACGUGUUGGUAUAAUUUGCUUCUGAUUUAGAGGAAGCAUAAAUAACAUGUGCUGAACUUUGAGAUCGAUUGAGUUUUCAUUACCUAACAAGAAAUUGAGAAAAUUUUAGGUGCAUCUCAAGUUGCAUUGGUGUACAUUUUUGAAUCUUAAUCGAUUAUUUAAAAUGAAUUUAUAUUAAACAAAAUUCACUAAAUAGUAACUAUAGAUAUUGAAAUGUAUAAUGUAACAAAAUAAAUUUACAGUACUACUUAGGUGUUUUACAAAAAUUAAAUACUAAAGCAAAAAAUGUAUAAUUUUUCUAAAAUGAAUUUACAUAUUGAAAUGUAAUUAUCUUGAUAAUAUCUGAGAGACUAUCUUAUUAUAAAAUUUUAAUAAAUUGAACUCUUAGAACAUCAAGAGAGCUGCUAUGGGUAAAUUUUUACACUUAACACUUAUAAUCAUAAAUUAAAAGGUUACUGUAAAACUAAUUUUAUUGUUCUGAGUAUUGUUUAAAUUGUUGUCUAUGUGUGUGUGCAAAAUUUAUAAUACUAUAUUUUUUUUCUAUAAUUUAGUUGGAAGAUUUGGUUUGUUAAUAUUGUAACUUCUAAUGGUUAUGUUUUUUUUUCCCCUUACCUAGAUUGUUCUGCAUGAUAAGAUUGAAAUUGACGAGGACGAUCCUGUUGAAUUCUUGAUAUGGAAGCUGAUAAAAGUAACCAGUAAAAAUUGUUUUUGAUGGAUACGAGUAUGUUUCUUAUUCAAUUGGAAAGGCAUAAUCUCCAAUAGAAAGUCUUUUUUUUUUUUUUUUUUUUUUUGAGAAAAUCACCAAUAGAAAUUCGAAUUCAAACAUUUGAAUAUGGGCUUGGAAUUCACAUAAUCAUAUAUUUAGUUAUUUUUUAUUCUUCUGCAAUACAAUGAAACUAUUGGAACUGGAGAGUCAAAUAAAGGAGAAAACUAUCGUGUUAAAGUC